rnacentral:sRNA from 1 species
GGAGGCCCCAGCUCCCUAGGGGCUGAGAAGCUGGAGUCCUGGGGAAGGGGAGGAGCUGAGCCCUACUCUUGCAAGACCCCCGCCCUCCUCCCCCAGCAGGAAGCAUGAACAGAAAAGACAGCAAGAGGAAGUCCCACCAGGAAUGCACCGGAAAGACAGGAGGGCGGGGCCGGCCCCGCCAAGCGCGUCGCCACAAGACAUGCCCCAGCCCCCGGGAAAUCAGCAAGGUCAUGGCUUCCAUGAACCUGGGCCUUCUGAGUGAGGGCGGCUGCAGCGAAGAUGAGCUGCUGGAGAAAUGCAUCCAGUCCUUCGAUUCAGCUGGCAGCCUGUGCCAUGGGGACCACAUGCUCAACAUGGUGCUGGCCAUGCACAGCUGGGUGCUGCCAUCUGCCGACCUGGCUGCCCGCCUGCUGACCUCAUACCAGAAGGCCACAGGGGACACCCAGGAGCUGAGACGGCUGCAGAUCUGUCACCUGGUCAGGUACUGGCUGACGCAACACCCUGAGGUGAUGCACCAGGAUCCCCAGCUAGAAGAAGUCAUAGGUCGUUUCUGGGCCACCGUGGCCCAGGAGGGCAACUCGGCCCAGAGAAGACUGGGAGACUCUUCUAACCUGUGAGUCAGCCCUGCACUCCCCUCUUCCCUGCCCCAUCCCCAUUCUGCCAUCUCCCUCUACAUCCCCAAGCCCUCAACUGUGAGCCACUCCAAUACCCUGCCCCUCUUGGCCCCCAGCCUGAGCCCUGGUGGCCCUGGCCCCCCACUCCCCAUGAGCAGCCCAGGCCUGGGCAAAAAGCGCAAAGUGUCCUUGCUUUUCGACCACUUGGAGACGGGGGAGCUGGCUCAGCACCUCACCUACCUGGAGUUCCGGUCCUUCCAGGCUAUCACGCCCCAGGAUCUGCGGAGCUACGUUUUGCAGGGCUCAGUACGAGGCUGCCCGGCCCUGGAGGGCUCCGUAGGUCUCAGCAACAGCGUGUCCCGCUGGGUGCAGGUGAUGGUGCUGAGCCGUCCCGGGCCCCUACAGCGCGCACAGGUGCUGGACAAGUUCAUUCACGUGGCACAGAGGCUCCGCCAGCUGCAGAAUUUCAACACGCUGAUGGCAGUCACAGGGGGCCUAUGUCACAGUGCCAUCUCCAGACUCAAGGACUCCCAUGCCCACCUGAGCCCUGACAGCACCAAGGCCCUCCUGGAGCUCACUGAGCUCCUUGCCUCCCACAACAACUACGCCCGCUACCGCCGCACCUGGGCUGGCUGUGCGGGCUUCCGGCUGCCUGUACUGGGCGUGCACCUCAAGGACCUGGUGUCCCUGCAUGAGGCACAGCCCGACAGGUUGCCUGACGGCCGCCUGCACCUACCCAAGCUGAACAACCUCUACCUGCGGCUGCAGGAGCUGGUGGCCCUCCAAGGGCAGCAUCCACCCUGCAGCGCCAAUGAGGACCUGCUGCACCUGCUCACGCUCUCCCUGGACCUCUUCUACACGGAAGACGAGAUCUAUGAGCUUUCUUAUGCCCGGGAGCCGCGUUGUCCCAAGAGUCUGCCACCCUCCCCCUUCAACGCACCUCUGGUGGUGGAAUGGGCCCCUGGUGUGACACCCAAGCCGGACAGGAUCACGCUGGGUCGGCAUGUGGAGCAGCUGGUGGAGGUAAGGAGGGGCCGCCGGCAGCCAGGAGGGAAGACAUCUGUAGAACCCUGAGCCUGGAGGUGGGGACUUAUAUGGCCAUGGGGAUCAUAUUUCGACAACUGGGCCUUAUCUGCUUCCCCACACUUCUCUGAAGUCUGUGUUCAAGAAUUAUGACCCUGAAGGCCGAGGAACAAUCUCUCAGGAGGACUUUGAGCGACUCUCGGGCAAUUUUCCCUUCGCCUGCCAUGGGCUUCACCCACCCCCACGCCAGGGGAGAGGCUCCUUCAGCAGAGAGGAGCUGACAGGGUACCUGCUCCGGGCCAGCGCCAUCUGCUCCAAGCUGGGCCUCGCCUUCCUGCACACCUUCCAUGAGGUCACCUUCCGAAAGCCUACCUUCUGCGACAGCUGCAGUGGCUUCGUGAGCACUCCACCCCAUCACCGCCCUUAGGUUCCAUCUGUGCUGAAGCCGGUAGUCCGCAAACCCCAGAUAACCCCCAAAUUCCAGAAAUCCUCUAGCUUCAAAUCAUCCUGUUUCAUAUAAACCCUAAACACCAGACAUUCCCUAUAUCCUGGAUAAUCUCCAAAUGCCAGAUAAUCCCCAAAUCCCAGAUAAUCUCCACCCCAGACAAUCGCUGAACCAUGGAUAAUAUCUGAAACUCUGGAUAGGAGGCCAGGAGAUCCUCCCACCUUGGCGUCUCAAAGUGCUGGGAUUACUGGCAUGAGCCACUGCACCCACCCACAUUCCUUUAAUUCCAGUUAAAUCUCUAGCCUUGAGAAUUUCAAAACCUGGGUAGCUUCCACACUUCCACUCCCCAGCUGCCCUGCCAAUCCACAGCCUUCCCUCUCCUAGGAUGGGUAAUCUUUUCUCCUUUCUCUUCCCAGCUCUGGGGUGUCACCAAGCAAGGCUACCGCUGUCGGGGUGAGUGGGGUGUCAGCGAGUGGGAGGGAAGCCUUGGCCCGCAGGCUGGAAGGAUGGAUGACACAGAUCGGACCCCUGGCCAUUAACCGCUGCCUUCCCCAGAGUGCGGGCUGUGUUGCCACAAACACUGCAGAGAGCAACUGAAGGUAGAAUGUAAGAAGAGGCCAGGGGCCAAGGGCGAUGCAGGACCCCCCGGAGCUCCUGUCCCAUCCACACCAGCUCCCCAUGCCAGCUGUGGUAAGACCUAGAGCACGCCAGUGCUGGGAAGGGGCCUAGGGGAAAGGGGUUGAGUCCAAGGUCAAGAGGCCCUUCCCAUCAGACCCACAUCCCUUCCAUCCACCCACAAACAGGCUCCGAGGAAAAUCUCUCCUACACGCUAUCCCUGGAACCUGAGACUGGGUGCCAGCUUCGCCAUGCCUGGACCCAGACUGAAUCCCCACACCCUUCCUGGGAAACAGAUACGGUCCCCUGCCCAGUGAUGGACCCACCAUCAACUGCAUCCUCGAAGCUGGAUUCCUAGACAUCUCUUGGUCUCCUCUCUUCCUCACUCCCUUCCCCCAGUCAGUCCUGAGUCCUGUCGUCAGACUCUGGCAGGGCUCCCAGAGGUAGGCCCCCAGAGGCAUCCGCCUUCCCAUCCACACUGCCUUUGGUGGUACGUCCAUCAUCUUUUUCCCUGGAAGUGACUUCCCUCUUUUGCAUCCUGGUGGAUGCUACUCCUGCUCCCUUCCCCUGCACUUAGUAUCUGUGCAGCUCUGUGUUGGAUACAUUUAGACUCAGGCCUCAUUUUACCAACUCCCUAAAUCUCCAUUUCUUUUUUUUUUUUUUUUUUUUUUUUGAGACAGUCUCGCUCUGUCACCCAGGCUGGAAUGCAAUGAUGCAAUCUCAGCUCACUGCAACCUCCGCCUCCCGGGUUCAAGUGAUUCUUCUGUCUCAGCCUCCCAAGUAGCUUGGAUUACAGGCACGCGCCACCAUGCCUGGCUAAUUUUUGUAUUUUUAGUAGAGACGGGGUUUCCCCACAUUGGCCAAGAUGGUCUCGAACUCCUGACCUCAUGAUCCACCAGCCUCGGCCUCCCAAAGUGCUGGGAUUACAGGUGUGAGCCACCAUGCCCAGCUCCUGCUUUUUUCUGCAUAGAACGUUCUCCCUCUGACAGCCUAUACUUUUUCCCUCUUUAUCUCGUUGAAUGUCUGUCUUUCCUCAACAGGAACAUCAACUCCAGGAGAACAGGGAUUUCUAUCAGUGUCAUUUACUGCUGCAUCCCCAGUGCCUAGAACAGGGCUGGCAGGUGGUAGGCGCCUGACAGAUGCUUGUCUGAUGCCUGAAUGUCUCCUUACCCACGCCCACGGCGCAGGAUAGAUGUGCUGUAGGGCAAAGAACUUUGAGGGUCGAGCAGCAGGGGCCCAUUCAGUCCCAGGGAGCAGAGACCCCCCCACCCCUUCACAAACCCCAACACCCCUGACUUGGCCCCCACAGAGAGAGGUCCUAUAGCUGUCAUAAAUUAAAUUUAUUCUCUGGAGAACAUG